GCAGAACGCGAAGAACCUUACCUGGCCUUGACAUGUCGCGAAUCCUGCAGAGAUGCGGGAGUGCCUUCGGGAAUGCGAACACAGGUGCUGCAUGGCUGUCGUCAGCUCGUGUCGUGAGAUGUUGGGUUAAGUCCCGCAACGAGCGCAACCCUUGUCCUUAGUUGCCAGCACGUAAUGGUGGGAACUCUAAGGAGACCGCCGGUGACAAACCGGAGGAAGGUGGGAUGACGUCAAGUCAUCAUGGCCCUUACGGCCAGGGCUACACACGUACUACAAUGGGGUGUACAGAGGGUUGCAAAGCCGCGAGAUGGAGCCAAUCCCAGAAAGCACUUCUCAGUCCGGAUCGGAGUCUGCAACUCGACUCCGUGAAGUCGGAAUCGCUAGUAAUCGCAGAUCAGAAUGCUGCGGUGAAUACGUUCCCGGGUCUUGUACACACCG
rnacentral:rRNA from 1 species